UACAGAGGUCCCAAGCGUUGUUCGGAUUCACUGGGCGUAAAGGGUGCGUAGGUGGCCAGGUAAGUUCGGUGUGAAAGCUCGGAGCUUAACUCCGAAAUGGCAUUGAAUACUAUCUGGCUAGAGGGUCGGAGGGGAGACUGGAAUUCUCGGUGUAGCAGUGAAAUGCGUAGAUAUCGUAAGGAAGACCAGUGGCGAAGGCGGGUCUCUGGACAGUUCCUGACGCUGAGGCACGAAGGUCAGGGGAGCAAACGGG
rnacentral:rRNA from 1 species